UACGUAGGGGGCUAGCGUUGUCCGGAUUUAUUGGGCGUAAAGAGCGUGUAGGCGGCCAGGUAGGUCUGCUGUGAAAACUCGAGGCUCAACCUCGAGACGUCGGCGGAAACCAUCUGGCUGGAGUCCGGAAGAGGAGAGUGGAAUUCCUGGUGUAGCGGUGAAAUGCGCAGAUAUCAGGAAGAACACCCGUGGCGAAGGCGGCUCUCUGGGACGGUACUGACGCUGAGACGCGAAAGCGUGGGGAGCGAACAGG
rnacentral:rRNA from 1 species